UUCCGGUUGAUCCUGCCGGAGGCUACCGCUAUUGGAGUUCGAUUAAGCCAUGCGAGUCCAGAGCUUUCGGAGCUCGGCGUACCGCUCAGUAACACGUGGGUAACCUAACCUAUGCAGGGGAAUAACCUCGGGAAACUGAGAAUAAUACCCUAUAGUCCACUACGCCUGGAACGGUGAGUGGAUGAAAGCUCAGGCGGCAUAGGAUGGGCCUGCGGCGUAUCAGGUUGUAGGGGGUGUAAAGUACCCUCUAGCCCUCUACGCGUACGGGUGUUGGGAGACAUAGCCCGGAGAUGGAUUCUGAGACACGAAUCCAGACCCUACGGGGUGCAGCAGGCGCGAAAACUUGGCAAUGCGAGCAAUCGUGACCGGGGAACUCCAAGUGGCUGGGGUAAGACCCAGUCUUUUCAGAACUCUUCAAAGGUUUUAGAAUAAGGGGUGGGUAAGGACGGUGCCAGCCGCCGCGGUAAUACCGGCGCCUCAAGUGGUAGUCGCUUUUAUUGGGCCUAAAACGUCCGUAGCCGGUUUGGUACAUUCGUGGGUAAAUCAACUCGCUCAACGAGUUGAAUUCUGCGAGGACGGCCAGACUUGGGACCGGGAGAGGUGUGGGGUACUCUCAGGGUAGGGGUAAAAUCCUGUCAUCCUGAGAGGACCACCUGUUGCGAAGGCGCCACACUAGAACGGGUCCGACGGUCAGGGACGAAGCCUAGGGGCACGAACCGGAUUAGAUACCCGGGUAGUCCUAGGUGUAAACGCUGUGGACUUGAUGUUGGAGGAGCUCCGAGCUCUUUCAGUGUCGAAGCGAAGGUGAUAAGUCCACUGCCUGGGAAGUACGGUCGCAAGGCUGAAACUUAAAGGAAUUGGCGGGGGAGCACCGCAACCUGAGGAUUGUGCGGUUUAAUUGGAUUCAACGCCG
rnacentral:rRNA from 1 species